GCCUUUUCGCAGUUAUGGACUCUGGUGAACUGCGGUAUCCAUAUAACUAAUAUGCAUUUGGACACUAUGCGUCUCUAUAGUUGAUUGCUUUGAACUUUGAAGUCCAGUCUGCGAUGAAAGAUCAAAACUAAUUUAUACGAUUCUACAAGACGUAUCGGUUGUUACAAUGGAGUUAUAACGCGGUUGCUACCUUCUUACUAUACCCGAUACAUAAUGAGUAACGGUGUGCGGGUACCCGGGAUUACGAGUUCGGGUCGAGUCGGCAAAAGUCGGCCGGGCUCGGGCGGAUACCCGUUCGAACAUUCGUACGAAUGUUCAUGUCGGAUGGCGCGCAACUUCGGUUAUAUAAGCCCAAGACCUCGGGUAUUCAAGAGUUGCACAACAGCUCGGUAGUUGGUUUUUUGUCAGAUUUGCUUUCAUAAUAUUUGUUCAAAUAUUAUUCACUUAGACAUUGAUACAGUCGGAUCAUCAUUCUUAUAAAAACUUUUACAAAACCCACAAUUUUAUUUAUCCCUUUCUGUGUUUGCAACCCAUGUAUUUGAUCAUUAAAUUCUAAUGAAUAAAGGAUUUUAAUAAGUUGUAGAAAGCUCUUGAUAUGUUCGAGUACCCUACGACAUACUAUUUUUCUUCGAGUUGUUUGAAGAUAUCGGAUUCUGCGACCCUCGUGUCGUUACUUGAGUUUCUAUUGGAUGCCCGUAAUUUAUAUUACCACGCCGGAGAAAAGUUGCACGCGGUCCCACCACCGAUAAGAAGCCAUUUUUCAUUUUGUCUACACGGGAACCGAUGAAAGCCAGUCGACUGGAAGUGUGACAAUAAAAAAAGGGUCGCCCUUCAAGACUUUGCACCUCCGACCAUUCAACCGUGGAGGGUUAAGACUCGUUUCCUGAGACUUAAUUUCGUUGUACCCCCGUCGACACUUAUUCUUAUUAUUUUUUCCUUUGCCCCGUAAAUCAUCAAUUUCCUUUAUUAACCGCAUUCUUGAUUACAAGAAAAACCCUUCGAAUUUCUCCAAAGAUAUUUUCGCGAAACCAUAACGGCGGCGUGUUAUCAACUAACAUAAAUUCCGAUAGAAAUGAUCUGGAAGAAAUAAAUGGGUUGAUAAAAUUCAAUGAUACCUUCAGAAAAAAAGAAACGUUUUCGACUAUCCUAUCUACUCUGUUCUGAAUAAUACUGAGAUUAUAUUAAUAAAUUGAAGCAUUGUAUCGAAAAAUUAAUUUUCAAUGUUUAAUGAUCCAUGUUGUAGUGUGCCGUACUGGAUACGGCUAUUUCUACCGCGACGGUCAGCGUGUUAAGGGGAGAACCCUAAUCGAUGAGCGCUAAUUCAUAUGAAUGAUCGGGCUUUUACGAAAACAGAACAGGGGAUCUAUUUGAAAUUUUGAGAGUAGUUUUUUAUAUCCAUACAUAUAACAAAAAACUAUUCAAAAAAAGGUCAUUUAAAGAGGUAAUUAAAGAUAAUUUACAAGGUGUUUUGUAGUUUCGUCCAACAGUAUAGGAAAACGGAUGAAAUCCUUUGCAUCGGAUUCUACGUAGAACGCCAAUAUGUGUAAUUUUUUUCUAGUUUCGAGCCAGCUUAAUGGGUACACAUUGCCGUCGUGACAGAAUAAUAACGAUUCUUUUGCGGCCGUUUUAACGGGCAUGAAAAUCGUGGCGACCGAUAGCUGGUGUGUUUUCGUCCGAUACCGAUUCCAUCUGGCUGCUGAUUCCCAAUCUCAAUAAAGCCAGUAAUAGACCAGUUACAAGCUAACAGGCUCCCAUCCCCAUCAACCGACCGACCGACCGGACCGACCGACCGGUUUCCCUCUUCUAUCCCUCUACCACCCUCGAUAUAUUUGGCCGACGCAGCUUAACCCAGGGGAUGGUUCCAUGCGGUGGACUUGAAGCGCGUUCGAGCGUGAAAACUCGCCUGAAAAAUGCGAUGCACCGCGGUGAAUUUGUAAAACGGUCUCGUGGAAAAGCGAGAAACGGGAAAAGCUACAGAGUGUGCAGAGCAGCUACCUUUUUAUUCGGAAAUUAUCGACCCUGUCUUGGCGUCGGACGGUGGACGUGAGUGGUUUUGUCUCCGCAGAUUCAGCCGACUGAAACGUGAAUUUUUGCUCGGGCGAUGGUCCAACGAUGUUGCGACUCUCCCCUAACGAAUUCUCUUCUCUUCUUCGCGCUCUGAUUGCUCGAGGAAUUUUCGACAAUGCGACGGAUUGUAUGAUUCUCCUUGAUUCGAAUCAACGUAAUCGAGAGUACCUGAGGUGAAAUUUAAAUUCUAAUUUGGAACCAACAAUUGUAGAUUAAGUGUUAGGAGUCAGAUGUGAAAUUUCAGCGCUGGUAUUCGCGUAGAAAUUAAAAUGUAAUUACGACGUUCGGAUGUUAUUUAUGUUACGACUCGAACCAAAUUUUCCUCUCUAGAUAUUUCAUGUUACAUUCCAGAUUUUUAUCAAUCGUGAAAUACCAUCGUAUUGUUUUUGAAAUGAAUUUUUGUACGCUAUUAUCGUGCGGUAGUUACGUAUGACUGGCGGCUAUAUCGAAUCGGAAAAGAGCAGAAUAGUUUCCGUUCUGCUGCUAUCUUUGUAUUCGACUCCCAUCAGCAACGAACUACUGUCUCGGAUAUUAUUUUCCUUUAUUGCUUUAUUUCCCCUCGCAACUGUACGCAUUCUUUCAUCAAAUAUAAUUCAAAGCUAUUAGGUCUAUGCAAAAGUUUCCGUCCCUUCUUUUGCGAAGAAUGCACAUUUAUUUUUCAUUAUCUUUCUUCAUAAACGGGCAACAGUCAUCCUUUGACACAGUGUAAUAUGAUCUAAGAUCUAAGAAAUAAUCUUCAGUUACUUAAAAAAAAAAAAAAAACUAAGAAAUUUAGUUAUAGAUCUCUUAUUUUUAUAUUUAAAUCUUUUUUUAUGUUUAAAAAUAAAUCAGUUCAAAUAUUUGUUCUUUUCUCCCAAAUCGUUCUUAUAAAACUUGUUUCCGUGUCAAUCGAGAUUGGAAUUUCGCACGUGUUGUUCCUGCUGAAGGUUUCACGAGCUAAAUAAUAUAUGUUUAUCUGCUCCUGAUAGCAUCGCACCCUAGAGUCCUUCCGACGUAAUCCCGUGGCGUAACUUUUUACCCCUCCGUGUUCGAGCGGCUGACACACGUGCAGGAUGUUAUACGUGGAAUACUUAACGUUAUAAAACCCUAGCAGAGUGAUGUCCUUAUAGAAGAUUGUGCGACACAAAACGAACAGCCGCGAUAUAAAAAUCUCCCUUGUACUUUCCACGAUUUCCCACGUCUUUUCCUACUAUUCCCCAUUGAAACAUCCUUCGCGGGGACGCCAUUUUCAGUCGAUAGAACGAAAUUUAUCGAACGGCGUAACAGCCAUUUCGGAAACUAAGUUUUAAUGGUGUUUUGAAGAAUGGAAAAAGGCUUAAGGGUCAACAGAGGAGUAACGGUUCAAGUUUGAAUCGAUCUUGAGAGCCUUGCGUAUGCGGGGAAACCGAGAAACUUCCGGUAUUCAGCUAGCAAAGACACCUGCUUAAAAUGGAAGCAAAGACCGGUAGGAGAUCAUGGAAAUGGCUUUAUAAUGACUCUUACAGCCCCUGUUCUGCAAAGCAACUCGAACCUGACACAGCAGGCGCUGGACCUGUUAGUCCAGAGCUGAGCCGAGUGCAGAAUAGCUUUGGUCAUCAUCGCGGGGUCAUAUAAUACCCUCGAUUACUCUUGAUCACAGAGGGUGGGUUUUCGCGGUCCCCGGCGUGUUCGGGCCUAUAUACAACACGGAGAGGGAUUCGUGUAGAUCGGGGGGUGGAGGUCUAACAGUAUUUUAGUGUCCGGUAUUGGUCCCGAGAGACUGGAACACCAAAUUCGCUCUGUACAGCGGAACGACGAGGAACGACGUGAAAGGUGAGGCGGUAAUGAAUUGGGCGGUGUGGAGUUACGUUGUGAAUGAAAGUCGUCCGGGAAAUAUCGAGCAGUCGAUACCAGCUCGAAAGGGUUUUCAAAGAAGAGAAAUCGUACGUCUGGAUUUUGUCUUAACCGUUAGAUAUAUAUCGAGGGGAAAAAGGGGUAAGUUGGAGUGCUCGGAGAAUGUGCAUAAUCUAAAUUCUAGGUUCAGUAGAAAUUUAUGUUUAACGUAAGACGAGAAGCAAAUAAAUCCUCCGUAUUCUAACGUAGAAGCAUGCAAUAAAUUUCAGACAUAGAUUCCGCAAUUUUGGACGCAUAUUACCAGACAUUUUCGCACGUUGCCGUGUAGUAUCGCUUGAAACAUAGCGACGAAAACAUAACGCGAUAGUUGCUUGUAAAAGAAUAUAAUAAAGAGGAUAUUUUAUUUUACCCAAAAUAAUGUUUCUGUAUUUAAUGCAACAAUUGAUUGAGUUAUGGUCAGCAUGAAAGCUGUAAUUCAACAAAGUGAUUAAGUAACGAAGCCGGCCAUUAUACGAUAUUAAUUUCGUUCCGAGUGGGGCGGUAAUUUGGUUACGGAAUUUCAACCAACCCUAUGUGCAUACAAUUAAAUUACUUUUACUAAUGAAAUUAGUAUAUAAUGUAGAUAACAAAGAUAUUCUAUCAUUUUUCAAUUCUACUUUCUUACAAUUGCUUAAAGAAAUAUUUAUUUCACACAUUUUGUCCCAGGAUGUACCAGAAAUAAAUGGACGAUCUUUUAAAUAAGACCUCAUCUAAUGGUGGCGUUACUUUUGAAGGCUCACGAUGCGAUUACCAAACUAAUCCAAAACAAUCAUUAAUUCUCGUGGCGAAGUAUUUCGAUAGGACGUCUUGAGGGUCGAGAAUCGUGACACCCCUUAAAAGGCGAGCCAUCGUUAUGCCUGACUCGGUUGGUGCUAAGAAGAUUCUUCUAACUAGCGAAUGUAAUCUCCGAGAGCUAACUCAUCGGACCCUUAAUUCGAGGAAAUCAACCCCGUACCAUCAUUUCAAGAAAUGAAGACAAAUGCGAAAGGCCUGUCACAGUUGACUGUCGUUUCGAGCGUACUCGAGUCAUGAAAAUACUUCGAAUAAGCACAAUAGAAUGAAAGUAGAAUAGAAGUAUCACUUUUAACGACUUCUACUUUACCAGGAUCGUUUGUGCUAUCUCUCCUCGCGCCAACAAUAAGAUUCUUCGUAGAAAGUUCGUAGAAUAGAAGAAGCCUGGAUGGUUGUUGCAAUAGGCGGAAAUACAGGCGCGUAUUUGUUGAGUUUCGAGUGCGAACUUGGUGCGGUUUCAAAAGUCCGUCGUGCGAGUUGCUGCUUUCCUCGAGCCCUCACGCGAGACCGCGUUUACUCAGCCCGGUCACGUACGCGAAGCCGGUUGUUUUGGGGAAACUCGGCAGGUUGCGUGGGUGGUCGUAGAAUUUAACCAAGGACAGAGACAGGGCUAUAAAGAGACGAAGAAACGCAGCUGGAACAUUUUCAGGGAAAUGGCAAAUUGGAUGUUCGGUUGUUACGGGUGCCCUGGUCGACCCCUCGGAUGGCGAAAGAACUGGUCGAGAGGCGGCGACGACCCUACCAGGAGGAAAUGCACGUCGAGGAUGUAAUCUUCGGGCUUUCCGAGGGUGGAAACCGACACCUCGACAUUCCACUUUGGAACACGGCGACUCGCGAAAUGACGAAUGCCAAGCGGAACGCACCUGCUACCCGGCAAGGAAAUCGAGGCGAACGAAUUCGUUGAAAGAUCGAGGGUUGGAGAAAAUGCAGGAGGCGAAAGCACUGUGUCUCCGCGAAAAGAUUUAAGAUUCUACAAGGGGACCGAUAGAUCUGCAACGUGAAAGAAGAAAUUCGCGUUCCUUGAAAAUCUCACUUUACAUCGGAAUAUAAUAUAAAUCAUUAUUAGACUUUUAGAUUCGUAUUUAGCGGACGAAAAUAUCUAUGACAAAGGGGAGAGUUAAAAUUUCUAGGACAGCAUCAUUUUUCAACCGUCGCGUCUGUUUGUUUCCCACAAUGUAUGCGGUAAUGGUAGAAAAGUUUCGUGGAUCAUCCAUUUACCGAGCAUGAUGUAUCAUCACCGUAGAAAGAUUGCUUUUCUUGAUUGAGGGGAUAAUGUUUUCCGCGCGUAACUCAAUUAUCGGGCAAAACGAGCCGACGGUUCGUCCGUGAAAAGUACGCGCACCGGAUGCGUGGGAAAAAUGGUCCCAACAACCAUGCAUCAUUUCGCAGUGCAACGAUAACGUAUACGGUUCAGGACACUUGAUUAAAUGCAGUGAUGCUUUUCUUAUAUUAUUUUCUUCUGAUUUUUAAACUAUUAUGUAUAUUAC